AAGAGAACAAAAUCUAAGGAAUUGGGUUUGAAUUAUUCAAUCCAUUAUGGACCCAAUAAACAAUUUCAUAAGCAGUCAAAAAAAUAAUGCAGAGCCCACAUCAAAUUCGGGUCCAAGGCCCAGAGCAUGUGAAGUCCACAUGCAAAUUCGGGUCCAAAGCCCAAAACAUGUAGAGUCCGAAAUCCAGCCCACAUGCAGAUUUAAAUUCAAAAUCAAUAAAAGUCUAGCUCACAUACAGAUUCGGGCCCAGAACAUGUAAAGCCCGCAGCCUAGAUCAACCUACAUUCAUAUUUGGGUCCAAAACCAAUAAAAAUAUAUGUGAAUGAAUUUCUCAACCCAAAAAUUCAAAGCCCACAAACAAAAUCCCAAAAAUCCAAAGUCCACAAAUGUCACGCCCCGGGACCCAGCGGAAGCCCGCCUGGCGCCCGCCAUAUGUCUAAAACAUAUAAGGCGUCUAAUAGCAACGAUAAUAAAAGCAGUAAUAAAAGACAUCUAGGAGUAUCAGAGCAUGAUAUAAUACUAAGUUCUAUAAUAGAGAAAGGAACACAAAGCUGGAAUCCACUAAUAAAAGCAUAAAGUAAUACAAAGAAAAUCCCAAAUACAAGUGCUAAAAGUAGAUACAUAGGUCGUCUCUAUACAUGGAUACAAAAACUCUCACUCUCUCGACUAUAAAAAGAAAGAAUAAACCACCUAGGCAAAGAACCGCUCCUCGCUAGCUAGCUAUGCGAUCCCCUUGCCGCGAUCCCGUACCUCCUCUGGUGCAGAAGGCUCUGAAAGAAACCACAAAAAAGAGGGCGUGAGAACUAUUAAAAAUAGUUCCGAGUGGGCAAUUACUGACUUCAGUGAAUGCACCACAAGGCCCAAAGCUACAAGGGAAGUGGUCAGUAACUAUGAAAGCAAUAAAGCGAAAGGUAAGUAAAAGUGUAACAUACUAUAACCAGAUGUCUCUACUUAGCAUGAUAGGCAUAAGAAUAAGCAACUAUACAUAAUGUAUAUGGAUGUGUAUACAUGAAUACUCAUAGGUAUGCAACCAAUACGAUGUCCUCAAUGCAAUUAGUAAAGAUGUCAUUGUUUACAUUUCUAGUCGAUGUCCAGUCAAUACACUAAGUCAUCAUCUGUCCACAUGUCAUAGUGAAUACUUAAAGUCAAAUCUGAAGAGACCCACCCGAAGGCUGUCUAUGGCCCUGAGACCCACCCGUAGGCUGUCUGGCCGAUGCCGAGCCUAAUGGCCCCGUGGUAGUCAUCAUCCCCACCCUAGGAAUGAGCCUGGCCCACGGCAAUCCACUUCGGCGCCCAAUCCCGCACGGCGAAUAUGAAUCGCGAUGGCUAUCUCCGGAGUGCCGGCUUGUAGGGAGCGACCCUCACAAGCAUGUGCGAAUGAGCACAAUGGCAAGUAGUCAUAUGUCCUGUCACAAGUACCAAGUCCUCAUGUCUAAUAACAUGGAAUGUAUCGAAUGUCCCAAAGGCCUAUCUCUAUGUCAUUAUGUCUCUAACAUGGAAUAUAUAUAGCAGAUAUACAAUGGCCUAACAUUAUGUCUCUAUGUUGCAGUUUCAUAGUUUACUAGUUUCAAGUGCCUCUUGAUGACACUUAAUGUUACUAAGUCCAAACAUAGUAUAAUGUUUCCAAUACACGAAUAAGAGCUAAUUUAGCAUACUAGACGAGAAUCCCAUUCGUCCAUAUGAACACUCCUCACAUGCAUGAAAAUAACCCUGAUUACUCUACUAUAUAGAGUGAAAUUUAACUUACACAUAAGACAUGCAUUUUAAGUGUUCUAAAAUUCACAUAAAUUCUAAUUAGCAUAGAAAUGCAUUUAAAAUACUUUACAACAAGUAUAGGGAACAUAGGGGCCAUUUUUCCCCUUUCCACGAAGUCAAACCCACCGAUUUUUCGAACUCUUCGUUUCGCCGAACGAAGGUGUCCACUAGCCUCCUAAUACCCUAAGGAUGUAGGAACAAGUGUUAUCCAAACGAAACGAACAACGGAUUGCUCAAACAAUAACCAUUUCGGGAUAGGGUUGAAGAAAACUCACCGAUUGCGAAGGAAGCUCUCACGAUCUCCAAAUGAGAGUUAGAGUCCUUCCAAUCUAACCUAAACAAAGGUUCUAAACCCAUCAAAUAGGUUUCAAAGCCCUCAAAUCAAAAAUCCCCAUUUAUAACCCUAAUAUGCCAAAUCUAGGGUUUCAUCUAGCAUAAUCCAUCAAAAUAUGUACCAAAAGGGAAAUACAUGUUACUAACCUCUCUAGAAGCUCCAAACCAAGUUCCAAGUGCUCUAGGGUUGGAGUUCCUUCCUCUAUCAAGCUCCUAGUCCAAGCUCCAAUGGUGGAAAAGCCUCCAAUCAAGCAAAAAGAACAAAAGAGUGGUUUAAUCCACCAAAACCUAAGCUAAAAGAGGAUCAAAACCAAAUGGAGUAGUGGAGAGGGCAACCCUACCUCUUCCUCUGCUGUUCCAAGCUCAGGGAGAGGUCCAAGGGGCGUGGGUGUUAUAUAGAGUAGCCACAAUCGCAAAAACACCCUGCAGUUCGAACUGCUCAGAAAUUGCACUACAUACCGGUACACGGGCCCGCGUACCGGUACACAACCCACAAAAAUGCCAAACCCGAGCCUCAGGUUCGCUGAGAAGUGCGCUGUGUGCCAGUACGCGAGCCCGUACCGGUACAGCCAUCAACCCCGUACCGGUACAGCAAGCAACCACGUACCGGUACGCGGUCUGCUGAUGCCUACCCGAGAGCUGACCAAAAAUCCGAUUUUUCAGGUUUUGGCGCCAAGCUUAAAACCUCCAUUCUCGGGACUCGAACCAUAGGUUGGAACACUGUCAACGACCCACCAGAAAGUCUGGAAAAGCUCAGAACACAAUCAAUCACUCGAACCCCGCAAUUUGCAAGGUCCAGUGCGUUACAACAAAUAAAGAUCCAAAACCCAUAAUCCACAAAUAAAGAUCCAAAACCCAAAGAUCCAAAAUCCAAAGUCCAUAAAUAAAACCCAAUCAAAUCUACCAAGCCUAUGUCAUCAAAAUACCUCCAACCCAAACCGAAUUCAUGGGCUUUCCAAAUGGGCCCUUUAUUGUGAAUUAAUUCUAUGAAUUAAUUUCCUGGGCUUUCCAGAGGCCCCCUAUCAUGAAUUAAUUCGACAAAUUAAUUUCAUGGGUCUGCCAAAUAGGCCCUUUAUCACGGAAUAAUUCUAUGAAUUAAUUUCAU
rnacentral:lncRNA from 1 species